rnacentral:rRNA from 1 species
ACGCUGGCGGCACGCCUAACACAUGCAAGUCGAACGAAGUAGCAAUACUUAGUGGCAGACGGGUGAGUAACAUGUAGGUAUCUACCCUUUGGCCUGGAAUAACACGAGGAAACUUGUGCUAAUACCGGAUAAGUCUUUACGGAGAAAGCUUUAUGCACCAUUGGAUGAGCCUGCACUUGAUUAGUUUGUUGGUGGGGUAAUGGCCUACCAAGACUGUGAUCAAUAGCUGAUUUGAGAGGAUGAUCAGCCACAUUGGGACUGAGACACGGCCCAAACUCCUACGGGAGGCAGCAGUGGGGAAUCUUGCACAAUGGAGGAAACUCUGAUGCAGCGAUGCCGCGUGAGUGAAGAAGGCCCUUGGGUUGUAAAGCUCUUUCGUCGGGGAAGAAAAUGACUGUACCCGAAUAAGAAGGUCCGGCUAACUUCGUGCCAGCAGCCGCGGUAAUACGAAGGGACCUAGCGUAGUUCGGAAUUACUGGGCUUAAAGAGUUCGUAGGUGGUUGAAAAAGUUAGUGGUGAAAUCCCAGAGCUUAACUCUGGAACUGCCAUUAAAACUUUUCAGCUAGAGUAUGAUAGAGGAAAGCAGAAUUUCUAGUGUAGAGGUGAAAUUCGUAGAUAUUAGAAAGAAUACCAAUUGCGAAGGCAGCUUUCUGGAUCAUUACUGACACUGAGGAACGAAAGCAUGGGUAGCGAAGAGGAUUAGAUACCCUCGUAGUCCAUGCCGUAAACGAUGUGUGUUAGACGUUGGAAAUUUAUUUUCAGUGUCGCAGCGAAAGCGAUAAACACACCGCCUGGGGAGUACG